AGUAAUUUAAGUCAGUGGUAGAGUCAAAGUCAGUUGUUAUACAGCCUUAGCAGGAAAAAGAAAGCUGGUAAGAUGAAUUGCAAUUUACUGACUGUUUUACUCGUCGCAUUAGUGGGCUGUGCACAGGCAAGAUCGACAAAAAAUGCAAAAAGCUGUUGCCCGUGUUGCCCACCUCCUCCACCGCCAAUGAUGCCACAGAUACCGGCGCAACAGGGAUGUGGUGAGCCCCCACGAGGUGUCGGAUGUGCGCCACCCUUGCAAGCUCCCUGCCCUCCUGGACCACCGAUAGGAAUGCCCCCAGCAGCACCCCCGUGCAUGCCAAUGGCACAACCAAUGGCACUACCACCAUUAACUAUGGGACAAAUUGGUUGUCCUGAGAGUCCUCGUCAAGGAUGUAUUGGUCUCCCUCCUGCAUCACCCCCAUGCUCACCUCCACUUCGUGCACCACCAGCACCAUGCCCACCUCCUCGAGCCCCUCCUUCUUCAAAAUGCUGCCCUGCCCCGGCAUGCUGCAAAAAAUCGCACAAAUCACAUUAAUUUGUCACAGAUCAAUAAUGUACCGUCUUUGACUUCUUGAAAUAAAUAUUACAAUUAGAUCAGACCAGGA